GGUGUCAAUUUUAGAGAUUCUGACUGUGUAUAUUAACAGAAACUAUUCCGUAUUAGAUUUCAAUAAUCAAAUGUUUCUUGUGGAUCAACUGUCAAGUUAAAUACUCCCCAAGAUAAGGUUUAAAAUGAACCAUGGAGGAAAAUCCGCAAGAUCCGGAUGAAGACGAUAUGUUAUCUGCAGUUAAACAACCAGCAAAAUAUAAAUUAAUGUGUGCAAGCUUUCUAAAGGAUAUUGGAGAUACAACGCACCCUGUGCGUAAUUGUAAAUGCAGGAAAAGGACCUGGAGCAAGAAAUACAGUCUAAUUAAUUAACUGAAAAUAGUCUCACUCAUGAAAAUAGUUCAAGAGUUACAUAAAAUUAGAUCAUAGUCUCUCAUUUUUGAAAUUUUUAUCGUGGCUCCCUUGAAGAGUUUUAUUCCUUUUUUUAUAUUUCAAGACUGCGCUGAUUUGAAAGGACUGAAUAAAUAUGCAACAGGAUUGGAACUGAUACCAUCGGCUUUAAAGGGAAAGUGAGGAUAAAUGAAAGGAUACAUUUCACCUUCCGUUUGAAUAAUCGAUGCAGCUAUAACCAUCUACACUGAAGAGUGCUCUUCACAUGACUGGAAACCAUUUAUUUCUCUGUGCCUUAUUACCAUUUCUUUCCAUAACGACGAGCAGAAAUUGACUUUUUUCCCGUACGUCUGAAAAGACGGAGAUUUCAUCUGGAGAUAACCUCAAUUUUAAAACUGCUGUGUUUCAGAAAACUGAGUAGAGGUGUGGUGUUCUAUCUGAAGGUGUAAAGGCAGCGAUCAAAAAUGUGGAUUUUAGGCAAGUAAACUUUAGCCUUUUUACCUAAGUAAAACAUUCAGUAUGUUCCAAUCCUCUCGAAAAGAUAUAUUCAUUAGAAAAAAUAUGUCAGUAUCUA